CCCCAGACUCCUACGGGAGGCAGCAGUGGGGAAUAUUGCACAAUGGGGGAAACCCUGAUGCAGCGACGCCGCGUGAGUGAAGAAGUAUUUCGGUAUGUAAAGCUCUAUCAGCAGGGAAGAAAAUGACGGUACCUGACUAAGAAGCCCCGGCUAACUACGUGCCAGCAGCCGCGGUAAUACGUAGGGGGCAAGCGUUAUCCGGAUUUACUGGGUGUAAAGGGAGCGUAGACGGCAUGGCAAGUCAGAUGUGAAAGCCCGGGGCUCAACCCCGGGACUGCAUUUGAAACUGUCAGGCUGGAGUGCAGGAGAGGUAAGUGGAAUUCCUAGUGUAGCGGUGAAAUGCGUAGAUAUUAGGAGGAACACCAGUGGCGAAGGCGGCUUACUGGACUGUAACUGACGUUGAGGCUCGAAAGCGUGGGGAGCAAACAGGAUUAGAUACCCGAGUAU
rnacentral:rRNA from 1 species